rnacentral:rRNA from 1 species
GAUGAACGCUGGCGGCGUGCCUAAUACAUGCAAGUCGAGAGAUCGGACGAGAAGCUUGCUUCUCUGAUGUUAGCGGCGGACGGGUGAGUAACACGUGGAUAACCUACCUAUAAGACUGGGAUAACUUCGGGAAACCGGAGCUAAUACCGGAUGAUAUUUUGAACCGCAUGGUUCAAAAGUGAAAGACGGUCUUGCUGUCACUUAUAGAUGGAUCCGCGCUGCAUUAGCUAGUUGGUAAGGUAACGGCUUACCAAGGCAACGAUGCAUAGCCGACCUGAGAGGGUGAUCGGCCACACUGGAACUGAGACACGGUCCAGACUCCUGCGGGAGGCAGCAGUAGGGAAUCUUCCGCAAUGGGCGAAAGCCUGACGGAGCAACGCCGCGUGAGUGAUGAAGGUCUUCGGAUCGUAAAACUCUGUUAUUAGGGAAGAACAUAUGUGUAAGUAACUGUGCACAUCUUGACGGUACCUAAUCAGAAAGCCACGGCUAACUACGUG